AGAGGGGAAACUGGAGGCCAGACGGCGGGUUAGGAACUCGCUGGCGUCAGGCUGAUUCCAAGGCCCCCAAACUGCCCGUGCUUCUCUCAACAUGCCUUGACCCAGCGCUCUAACAUCCCAGGCUCCGUGCUGGGCGCUGGGAGUCCCAGGGGCUCUGGGAGGGAGAAGUGGACAAGGAAAGAGAGAAAAAGGAAGACCCAGUGAGAGAACAGGAGAUAAAUGAGUCUUGUCACCCUUCUGCCAGGCUCCACAAGAGCGGAACAGCUCCUGUGCCCUAUGGGAAGAUCAGCCAUUAUUUAUGAGCUUGUCUGGAGGGGGCUAUGCUGGAAUAUCUAGCUUUGCUCCCUCUCCCCUCAGCUGGGGAGGGGGUGUUGGGAGGAGCUUGUGUUGUCUGAAGGCUUGUGCCUUCUUAAAGGCACAGAGGCCCUUGUGGGAGCCUGGGGCGUCCAGCCACCCUGAAGCCUGCGCAGCUUCCCAAGUAAAGGAAAGAGAGGAAACUCAGACCUACUGCAGAGCCAACUCCAUGAUGGGGAAAGAUCCUGAGACACUGGCUUGAAGGCAGGAAGGAACUUGGGGUUUCUGUGUACCUGAAGUCCUCAGAGACUGUCUCAGAGCUUCAGAACCCCUCCUGGUGCUGGCCCCACACAGCCAGCAGGGGACAUACCAAGAAUUAAAGGCUGGGAAUAUGGGGAAUGGGUGGAGGCCUGAGAGAAAGGAGAAUGGAAAUAAAAAAUGUCUAUAUCCCAGGUUUGGGUUCCUAUGGCUGGUCCAGCCUCAUUUAUGGUUGGAGAGGCAAUAGCUGAGGGUCCAAGACCCAAAACAAGGAGCCCAGGCAGAAAAGGGGGAGAAGGAGGGGCUGAGAGAGGUUUAGAAGGGAGCAGCAGUUAGAAGAGUUGGAUGGGAAAGGAAGGGAGAAGCUAGAAUAAAGCGAU
rnacentral:lncRNA from 1 species